UACGGAGGGAGCUAGCGUUGUUCGGAAUUACUGGGCGUAAAGCGCACGUAGGCGGCUAUUCAAGUCGGGGGUGAAAGCCCGGGGCUCAACCCCGGAACUGCCCUCGAAACUAGAUAGCUAGAAUCUUGGAGAGGCGAGUGGAAUUCCGGGUGUAGCGGUGGAAUGCGUAGAGAUCCGGAAGAACACCGGUGGCGAAGGCGGUUAGCUGGGCAGUUGCUGACACUGAGGCGCGACAGCGUGGGGAGCAAACAGG
rnacentral:rRNA from 1 species